GACGAACGCUGGCGGCGUGCUUAACACAUGCAAGUCGAACGGAAAGGCCCUGCUUUUGUGGGGUGCUCGAGUGGCGAACGGGUGAGUAACACGUGAGUAACCUGCCCUUGACUUUGGGAUAACUUCAGGAAACUGGGGCUAAUACCGGAUAGGAGCUCCUGCUGCAUGGUGGGGGUUGGAAAGUUUCGGCGGUUGGGGAUGGACUCGCGGCUUAUCAGCUUGUUGGCGGGGUAGUGGCUUACCAAGGCUUUGACGGGUAGCCGGCCUGAGAGGGUGACCGGCCACAUUGGGACUGAGAUACGGCCCAGACUCCUACGGGAGGCAGCAGUGGGGAAUAUUGCACAAUGGGCGGAAGCCUGAUGCAGCAACGCCGCGUGCGGGAUGACGGCCUUCGGGUUGUAAACCGCUUUCGCCUGUGACGAAGCGUGAGUGACGGUAAUGGGUAAAGAAGCACCGGCUAACUACGCG
rnacentral:rRNA from 1 species